GGUAGCCCAAGACACCUUGCCUUAGCCACACCCCCACGGGUAUUCAGCAGUAAUUAACCUUAAGCAAUAAGUGUAAACUUGACUUAGCCAUAGCAAUUCAGGGUUGGUAAAUCUUGUGCCAGCCACCGCGGUCAUACAAGAGACCCAAAUCAAUAGCCGCCCGGCGUAAAGAGUGGCCAUAUGUUAUCCCACUACCUAAGAUCAAAAUGCAACUAAGCUGUCAUAAGCCCAAGAUUCACUUAAGCCCCUUCAAACCAUCUUAGCCCUACGACUAAUUUUACCCCACGAAAGCUAGGGCACAAACUGGGAUUAGAUACCCCACUAUGCCUAGCCCUAAAUCUAGAUGCUCAAAUACCCAUGCAUCCGCCCGAGAACUACGAGCACAAACGCUUAAAACUCUAAGGACUUGGCGGUGCCCCAAACCCACCUAGAGGAGCCUGUUCUAUAAUCGAUAGUCCACGAUUCACCCAACCACCCCUUGCCAACACAGCCUACAUACCGCCGUCGCCAGUCCACCUAAAAUGAAAGAUCAACAGUGGGCUCAAUAGUCCACCACUAACAAGACAGGUCAAGGUAUAGCCCAUGGGGUGGAAGAAAUGGGCUACAUUUUCUACCAUAGAAUAAACGAAAGA
rnacentral:rRNA from 2 species